rnacentral:rRNA from 1 species
ACCCUCCAACCAGUGCACCUCUUCAUGGCAACCUUCUUAUCAUUUGUCACAAUCUUGCAUUACCUUAUCCACCGUCCUCAUGUUGUAUACCUUGUCGAUUAUGCUUGCUUCCGACCUAGCAACUAACGUGUCCCCAUGUCCACCUUCCUCGAACACAUCCGAUUAUUUCCCAACUCUAAUAAAAACAUUGUCCACUUCAUGAAACGAAUGCUUGAGAGAUUAGGUCUCGGUAAUGAGACUUACUAUCCCCCUAGCGCAUGGUAUAUUCCUCCAGGCUACUGUCUAAGCAAAACUCGUGAUGAGGCAGAAAUGGUCAUAUUCACUAUUAUUGAUGAAUUAUUAGUGAAGACACGCCUCAACCCAGAUGUGAUAGACAUACUCAUCGUCAACUGCAGCCUCUUCAACCCAACUCCAUCCCUUGCUGACAUGAUCAUGAGAAAAUUCAAGCUUCGAGGUGACAUCCGGAUUGCACAGCUCUUUGGGAUGGGGUGCAGCACAGGGAUAAUUAGCGUGGAUCUUGCCAGAAACAUCUUGCAAACGAUGCCUUAUGGUGCACAUGCACUCGUGAUGUCCACGAAGAUCCUAACUGGACGGUACUACAUGGGGAGGAAGCAUGAGAUGCUGGUGACCAAUGCAUUAUUCCGCACUAGCGGUGCUGUCGUGCUCCUUUCAACCUCGAGAACAAAAGCUCGCUUUCAGCUCUUGCACAUCACUCGGAAGUCUACUGGCGCCAAAGACAAUGCCUACCGUUGCGUAUUCCAACAAGAAGAUGAUGAGGGUUAUCUAGGGAUUCAUCUAUCAAAAGCCCUUUUGGAUAUUGCUGGUAAGGCUCUCAAGGACAAUCUCACCAUAACUGGACCACUUGUUCUCCCGAACUCAGAACUAUUGUCAUUUUUAUUCUCCUCCAUCACACGGAAGUUAUUCAACACAAGGACCGAGUUGUAUAUCCCUGACUUCAGCAAAGCCUUCAAGCAUUUUUGCAUCCAUGCUGGUGGACGAGUAGUGAUCGAUGGAGUUCAAAGAAGCCUCAGCCUAUCAUAUAAGCAUGUUGAGCCAUCAAGGAUGACACUGUAUCGGUAUGGGAAUACAUCAAGUAGCUCCUUGUGGUAUGAUCUAGCGUAUACUGAAGCUAAAGGCCAAAUGAGGAAGGGAGACCGAGUUUUAAUGGUUGGGUUUGGAUCUGGUUACAAGUGCAAUAGUGCCAUCUGGAAGUGCAUCCAGUCGAUCCAAAAUGUUGAUAGAGCAUGGGCAGAUUGCAUCCAUCGCUACCUGGUAGAUGUCUUCAAAUAG